CUACAUCUCUCCGACCUCGAUAUAUCCCUAAGCCUGCGAAGAUCAAGAAAAACAAAAAACAAAAAACACUUUCUCAUUCUCAAAUCAACUAUUAGAGAACUAAAUGCGAUUGAGGUGAUAGACCAAUUGAACAGAGCAAAACGAAAACGAAAACGAAAACGAAAACGAAACUUACCGAAGAAAUUGCUGAGGAUGGAUUGAAGAAAGAGAAGAGAUUUAGGGUUUUAGCAAAGAAAUGCUUUAGACAGUGUGGCGGUGGUGGCGGUGCAGGUGCAAUGGCUUGAGGGGGGCAGUGUGCAUUUAUAUAGAGAGGGCUCGCGUUACACACUGGAGUUAGGGUUUUGGCUGUUUUAGG
rnacentral:lncRNA from 1 species